rnacentral:lncRNA from 1 species
AAAAAAAAAAGGGGGGGGCCACGUCAGCAGCCGCGUCAGCAGCCACGUCAGCAGUCCCGGCCAACCAGGGCCUGACACGUGGCAAGAUCGCGUCACUCCGAAAGGAGCCACGUUGGCGAUCCGCGUGGGUGCGAUCCGACGGCCCAGAUCAAUCACGCGAUCGGACGGCCCAGAUUCAAUCGCACGGACGGCCCAGAUUCAAUCAAAAACGAACGGCCCAGAUUAAAACAAAAUAAACGGCUGUGAUCAAAAGGCAAGGGGUUAUAAAUAGAACCCCCACACCAGACCACAAACCCUAGCCGCCAGCCGCUCGCCGGAGAAGACGAACCAGAGGCCGACCGCCGCCACCCGCCGCCGCUCGCCGCCGCACCGGGGAAAUUUCCGACCGCCGAUCGAGGUAAAUUUCAUACCCCCGACUCGUUUUUCCCCACUGAUUCCUCCUAUGGCCAAAUCGAAACCGAAAUCCCGGCCAAACGGCCGGAAUACGCGGCCGAAGCCCAGCGGCGCCGCCGCGCCCCCUCUCGGUUUUUGCCUCCGACGAGGCCCUUCCCGGCCUCCGUUCGAUGCAAUUUUUAUAUCACCGUGAUCACCAUUCUUUUCUCUACAGGUUGACCGGAGCCGAAUCACCAAAACACGAACCUCGCCGGAGAGCCGCUGCACCCGAGAGCGCCGCCACCGGUAAGCUCCGUUUUUUCGUGAUUUUUUGGCCCCCCGAGGGCCCUAGGGUUGUUUUCUGACAAGGACCAAUGCGAGUGUGGCCGAAUUCGGCCGAAAACGGCCGAAAACAGUCAACCCGAGGUGACUCGCCGCCGCCAGCGGCGGCGCCGUCGCCGGAGCACGGCGGAGCCGCCGUGCCGGAGUUGCGAUUUGGGCCGAAAGAGGCCCUGGGCCUAAUUUGGAAUUUUUUUGGAACACGUGCAGGUACUGUUAGUGUGUUUCAG